rnacentral:rRNA from 1 species
UACGUAGGGUGCAAGCGUUAUCCGGAAUUAUUGGGCGUAAAGAGCUUGUAGGCGGUUUGUCGCGUCUGCUGUGAAAACUGGAGGCUCAACCUCCAGCCUGCAGUGGGUACGGGCAGACUAGAGUGCGGUAGGGGAGAUUGGAAUUCCUGGUGUAGCGGUGGAAUGCGCAGAUAUCAGGAGGAACACCGGUGGCGAAGGCGGGUCUCUGGGCCGUAACUGACGCUGAGGAGCGAAAGCGUGGGGAGCGAACAGG